rnacentral:rRNA from 1 species
UACGUGGGCUGCAAGCAUUAUCCGGAAUUAUUGGGCAUAAAGAGAUGCGUAGGCGGAUUGAUAAGUCUUUUGUUAAAGGCUGGAGCUUAACUCCAGAAAUGCAAAAGAUACUGUCUUUCUUGAGGCAGAGAGGGGGAAGUGGAAUAUCCAGUGGAGCGGUGAAAUGCGUUGAUAUUGGAUAGAACACUAGUGGCGAAGGCGACUUCCUGGCUCUUGCCUGACGCUAAGGCUCGAAAGCGUGGGGAGCAAA